AUACGUAGGGUGCAAGCGUUAAUCGGAAUUACUGGGCGUAAAGCGUGCGCAGGCGGUUUUGUAAGACAGAGGUGAAAUCCCCGGGCUUAACCUGGGAACUGCCUUUGUGACUGCAAGGCUAGAGUACGGCAGAGGGGGAUGGAAUUCCGCGUGUAGCAGUGAAAUGCGUAGAUAUGCAGAGGAAUACCGAUGGCGAAGGCACGCCCCUGGGGCUAAACUGACGCUAAGACACGAAAGAAUGGGGGGCAAACAGGAUAAGAUGCCCUGGUAAUACCCGCCCGAAACGAUGACAACUGUUUAUUGAGUGUACAUUGGAUCAGUAACGAAGCUAACACGUGAAGUUGUCCUCCUGGGGAGUACGACCGCAAGGUUGAAACUCAAAUGAUUUAACGCGG
rnacentral:rRNA from 1 species